UAUAUGUUUAUUAUUGGGAUAAUUUUUGAUAUAUUAAUAUUUAAUUAUAAAUGGUUCUAUAUCUUAAUAAUUAUCUUAUUUAUUUUUAAAAAUAUAUGUUUUUAUUUUGAUAUUUUUUCAUAUUAGUUUAUAAUCAAUUAGCUAAUAUAACUUAUAAUCUAUUAUUAUUAAUAUAAAAUUCUUUUAAAUUAUAUAUUAAGCAAAAAUAUCUAAAAUCAUGAAGAAUACGACACACAAACAAAAUCAGCUUUUGAUUGAUUAAUAUUUAAUUAGAAAUUGUUCUAUGUCUUAAUCUCUUAUAAUAAUAAAAUUUUAUUUUCCAGAUAACAAUAAAAUAUAUAUGUAAAACAAUUAUCUUUUUUUUUUAAUUUUGAUAAUUUAUUAUAUUAAUUUAUAAUCAAUUUAGUAAUAUAAAAUAUAAUCCAAUAUUAUUAAAAUAAUAAUUCAUUUUAAUUAUAUAAUUAGCUUUUAAAAGCACUUAUAUAUUUGAAAUAUUUUAUAAAAAUAUUUUUGAUUGAUUAAUAUUUAAUUAUAAUUUCUUUAUAUCUUAAUGUUUUAUAAUAAAAAUAUUAUUUCAGAUAACAACAAAAUAAUAUGUAGAAGAUUUAUAGUAUAGAAAAAUGUAUUUUUGUUCAUUUAUCAUAUUAAUUUGUAAUUAAUUAGGUAAUAUGAAAUACAAUAUAAUAUUAUUAAUAUAAAAUUCGUUUUAAUUAUAUAAUAAGUCAAAUACCUAAAAUUAUGGAGAACUUGACACAUAAGCAAAUUCACUUCUCAAAUAAUAGUAUAGAUGAGCAUUAAGCAAUAUCAUUAAAUAAAACAGGGCAUGGAUUAUGAUUGUAACUGUAACGACAUUCGGAAAGGAGCGUCUAUGAUUAAACCCCGACCAGAUUGAUCAGUAGCUUGUCUUGGUUCUUCCUUCGGUAUUGACUAAGGUUCUCUAACAUGUUAUCAACAUAGAGACAACCUUUGCUAGUUGUUUUUCUUUUCUUCUAGGAAUUUAGAAGACUAAUAAAUUUAAUUUGAGUGGCAAUGAAAAAAGCUUCGAAAACAGACAAAAUAGCGGCAUGUGCAUUUCGUCGUUAAUCUGUUUAUUGCUUAUAUGAAUGACUAUAAUGCAUUAUCAAAGAACACGGUAUAAGCAGCCAAGAGUUUGGUCAUAUGCAUGAUAUCGACAGAUAAUAGUAUAAUACAUAUCUGUGAGUAUAAACUAACGUGACCAUAGCAAAAAAAAAA